rnacentral:rRNA from 1 species
AACGUAGGAGACAGACGUUAUCCGGAGUUACUGGGCGUAAAGGGCGUGUAGGCGGUUUGUUAAGUCUGGCGUGAAAGCUCUCGGCUAAACCGGGAGAGGUCGUUGGAUACUGGCGAACUAGAGGAUGGUAGAGGCGUGUGGAAUUCCGGGUGUAGUGGUGAAAUGCGUAGAGAUCCGGAGGAACACCAGUGGCGAAGGCGACACGCUGGGCCAUACCUGACGCUAAAGCGCGACAGCAUGGGGAGCAAACGGG